rnacentral:rRNA from 1 species
CCUACGGGUGGCAGCAGUGAGGAAUAUUGGUCAAUGGACGAGAGUCUGAACCAGCCAAGUAGCGUGAAGGAUGACUGCCCUAUGGGUUGUAAACUUCUUUUAUAUGGGAAUAAAACGUUCCACGUGUGGGAUUUUGUAUGUACCAUAUGAAUAAGGAUCGGCUAACUCCGUGCCAGCAGCCGCGGUAAUACGGAGGAUCCGAGCGUUAUCCGGAUUUAUUGGGUUUAAAGGGAGCGUAGGUGGAUUGUUAAGUCAGUUGUGAAAGUUUGCGGCUCAACCGUAAAAUUGCAGUUGAAACUGGCAGUCUUGAGUACAGUAGAGGUGGGCGGAAUUCGUGGUGGAGCGGUGAAAUGCUUAGAUAUCACGAAGAACUCCGAUUGCGAAGGCAGUUCACUGGACUGCAACUGACACUGAGGCUCGAAAGUGUGGGUAUCAAACAGGAUUAGAUACCCCAGUAGUC